CAACGUAUGGCUUAGUUGGUCAGAGCGCUUGGUCGGUUUCCAAGAGGCGCGGGUUCAAAUCCUGCUACGUCAC
rnacentral:tRNA from 1 species